AAUCUCUUAAAGCUUCUCUCAGUUCGGAUUGCAGGCUGCAACUCGCCUGCAUGAAGCCGGAAUCGCUAGUAAUCGCGGAUCAGCACGCCGCGGUGAAUACGUUCCCGGGCCUUGUACACACCGCCCGUCACACCACGAGAGUUUGUAACACCCGAAGUCGGUGAGGUAACCUUUUGGAGCCAGCCGCCUAAGGUGGGAUAGAUGAUUGGGGUGAAGUCGUAACAAGGUAGCCGUAUCGGAAGGUGCGGCUGGAUCACCUCC
rnacentral:rRNA from 1 species